AGUGCUGUAGCUAAGUGGUAGUGCACAGGCUUUCAAUGCAACAGGUCCCAGGUUCAAUCCCUGGCAUCUCCA